rnacentral:rRNA from 1 species
AUUGAACGCUGGCGGCAGGCCUAACACAUGCAAGUCGAACGAGUGGCGGACGGGUGAGUAAUGUCUGGGAAACUGCCCGAUGGAGGGGGAUAACUACUGGAAACGGUAGCUAAUACCGCAUACCAUCGGAUGUGCCCAGAUGGGAUUAGCUAGUAGGGGGGGUAACGGCUCCCCUAGGCGACGAUCCCUAGCUGGUCUGAGAGGAUGACCAACCACAUGGGAAUGAGGACACGGUCCAGACUCUUACGGGAGGCAGCAGUGGGGAAUAUUGCACAAUGGGCGCAAGCCUGAUGCAGCCAUGCCUCGUGUAUGAAGAAGGCGUUCGGGUUGUAAAGUACGUUCAGCGAGGAGGCGUUACUCGCAGAAGAAGCACCGGCUAACUCCGUGCCAGCAGCCGCGGUAAUUC